CCCUGUCGAAACAAACAAUCCGGGUUGGGUUCGCUUCCGUCGCACUCCGGUCGUCGCGGGGCGCAGCGGGUUCGGGAGGGCCAGGGUCAGGGUCGCGGCGAGCGAGGCGGCGGGCGCGUGGGGGGCCGGUGCCGCUCUACUCCGGGCGCCGCCGGCGCCGGCGCAGGCACGACGUCCGCGGCGCCGCGCGCGAGCCUCCCCACAGCAAGCAGCGGCGCGCGACGCGGAGGAGGAGGAGGAGGAGCCAGCGGCGGCGGCGGCGGCGGUGAAGCAUGCCACUCUUCUAUCAAAGAGGACCUCGAUUCUCUCCCGAGUAAGGUGAACAACAAGGGGACAGCCUUUCGGGUGUUCCAUUGAACUGUAGGGAUGACUCUACCGGUUGACGAGGUUCACCCUACCUUUACGGACAUCACCUUCACGCAUCGGUACCCGAUACCGAAAACCGAUUUUUGCAGUUAGUUAUAUAAGUAUCUUAUGAACAACUCCGACUACCGUCUCGACUCUCACCACUACUAAAUACCAGACGACAAGCUCUGCUAAAUACCAGACGACAUCCCCUUCGACCAGGUUUGUAAAUGUUUUCUCCCCUAGAGUUUCUUAGCGUCUGCCGUCUAGAACUACAGAUAAACAACUUCUUCCAACCUGAGAAAGGUCUGUAAGAUCUUUCCUUUCGUAGUGCGGUGGACCUUUUUCCUCUAUUACAGAGGCGAGAAUAAUGAAGUCUUAAGAUAUGAUCUCUAGUUAAAGGACCUAAACCUUCUGGGAAACACAAGUUGAGUCUUCAAGUUUUUUCUUAACCCGCAUGUAGACUUCGGUUUCUUAGUCGAGCUCACCGAAACUUCAGUGGUACCACCUGUGAUCCGACAUCUAUGCUUCUCCGUCGACUUGAUCGACCCACCCUCCUACUCGUCUAGCUCAAGUAUUCUCUCUUCCAUAGGCUUCUCCCGUUUGUUCUGCUAGACUUCUUUCCUUUUCGAGGUCUCGUCCACCAGGAACUGCUCCGCCGCAAAGACUACCUAGACCGGUGCCAACUGCCGUUGACCCUGCUUCAGCACCUAGCCUAGCGGCUGACGAUGUCUCUCCGACCCUAGGUACUGUAACGCUUCAAGUAGCGAAUAUCCCUUAUCUUGUGGACGUCAAGUACAAAGGAUGCACGUGCUACGACGAAGCUUUAAAAAACGCCGUGAGCCGAAGCCUCAAGCCUGACUCUUCACAUCACAUCCGAAUCGAAAAUACUCGUUCUUCUUUGGUAAGGUCGCACACCUAGCAUCCGCAUAGAAACACCAGUGCAGCGUGCUCGCUUUUAUUACGGGUCAAAUAAGCUAAAGAAAAACGGCAGACACAUACAUAUAAGUACUAAUUCUUAUAUGAUUUAUUUGGAGUUUAACAACGUUGUAAACCAAUAAACUAGUUGGUUCAAAGUUUUG
rnacentral:rRNA from 1 species